ACUCACCAGGUCAGGACACGGUAAGGAUUGACGGACUGAAGGCUCUUCUCGAUUCCGUGGAAAGUGGUGCAUGGCCGUUUUGGUUGGUGGAUCGAUCCGUCUGGUUAAUUCCGUUAACGAACGAGACCUCGGCACUCCGAAUAGCGCGGCGGACGUCGCGGCCUCCGGGCCGUCUUCCGCACGAGCUUCUUAGAGGGACCGUCCCCCGCCGGGGAAGGAGGUGCGAGGCAACGACAGGUCUGUGAUGCCCUUAGAUGUUCUGGGCCGCACGCGCAUUACACUGACGCGUCCAACGGGUGACUCCCGACCCGAAGGGGCCGGGGAAUCCGCAAGGCGCGUCGUGAUGGGGAUUGAACGUUGCAAUUGUUGUUCACGAACGAGGAAUUCCUAGUAGGCGCGGGUCAUCAACCCGCGCCGAUUACGUCCCUGCCC
rnacentral:rRNA from 1 species